CCCUUCGGGGUGGUGAGGUGGCACACGGUUGACUUCGCGUGGAUAAUCUGCCCGAGGAUUUGGUAUAACGUCUCGAACGGUGUGAUAACACACUGUAAACCGUGCUGGUCUACGGAUCUUGCGCUUUUGGGGGGUACCUUCAUCCCUCAUGUCC
rnacentral:rRNA from 1 species